UAGGGAAUAUUAGUAAUGGGCGCAAGCCUGAACUAGCAACACCGCGUGUGCGAUGAAGGCCUUCGGGUCGUAAAGCACUUUUCGGGAGGAUGAGGAAGGACGGUACUCCCGGAAUAAGUCUCGGCUAACUACGUGCCAGCAGCCGCGGUAAAACGUAGGAGGCGAACGUUAUCCGGAUUUACUGGGCGUAAAGCGCGUGUAGGUGGUUUGGUAAGUAGGGCGUGAAAGCUCCUGGCUCAACUGGGAGAGGUCGUUCUAAACUGCCGGACUAGAGGAUGGUAGAGGGAGGUGGAAUUCCGGGUGUAGCGGUGGAAUGCGCAGAUAUCCGGAGGAACACCAGUGGCGAAAGCGGCCUCCUGGACCACUCCUGACACUCAGACGCGAAAGCUAGGGUAGCAAACGG
rnacentral:rRNA from 1 species